rnacentral:rRNA from 1 species
GUUAUAGGGUCAAGUGAAUAAGAGCAUGUGGUGGAUGCCUUGGCGAUUACAGGCGACGAAAGACGUGAUAGCCUGCGAUAAGCUUCGGGGAGCUGGCAAAUAAGCUUUGAUCCGGAGAUUUCUGAAUGGGGAAACCCACCUCGCAAGAGGUAUCGCAUGAUGAAUACAUAGUCAUGCGAGGCGAACCGGGUGAACUGAAACAUCUCAGUAGCUCGAGGAAAAGACAUCAACCGAGAUUCCGAAAGUAGUGGCGAGCGAAAUCGGAAGAGCCUUCUAUUGAUAGCACGACUGUUAGCAAAACGGAAUGGAAAGUCCGGCCAUAGCAGGUGAUAGCCCUGUAUGCGAAAACAGACGUGUGGUACUAAGGUAGAGACAAGUAGGGCGGGACACGAGAAAUCCUGUCUGAAUAUGGGGGGACCAUCCUCCAAGGCUAAAUACUCGUAAUCGACCGAUAGUGAACCAGUACCGUGAGGGAAAGGCGAAAAGAACCCCGGGAGGGGAGUGAAAUAGAUCCUGAAACCGCAUGCUUACAAAAAGUAGGAGCCCUUAGGGGUGACUGCGUACCUUUUGUAUAAUGGGUCAGCGACUUACAUUCAGUGGCAAGGUUAACCGAAUAGGGAAGCCGUAGAGAAAUCGAGUCCGAAUAGGGCGAAUCAGUCGCUGGGUGUAGACCCGAAACCAAGUGAUCUAUCCAUGGCCAGGAUGAAGGUGCCGUAACAGGUACUGGAGGUCCGAACCCACUAGUGUUGCAAAACUAGGGGAUGAGCUGUGGAUAGGGGUGAAAGGCUAAACAAACUUGGAAAUAGCUGGUUCUCUCCGAAAACUAUUUAGGUAGUGCCUCAAGUAUUACCGUCGGGGGUAGAGCACUGUUUAGGCUAGGGGGUCAUGGCGACUUACCAAACCUAUGCAAACUCCGAAUACCGACGAGUACAGCUUGGGAGACAGAGCACCGGGUGCUAACGUCCGGACUCAAGAGGGAAACAACCCAGACCGCCAGCUAAGGUCCCUAAAAUUGGCUAAGUGGGAAACGAAGUGGGAAGGCUAAAACAGUCAGGAUGUUGGCUUAGAAGCAGCCAUCAUUUAAAGAAAGCGUAAUAGCUCACUGAUCGAGUCGUCCUGCGCGGAAGAUGUAACGGGGCUAAGCCAGUUACCGAAGCUGCGGAUGUGCAAUUUAUUGCACGUGGUAGGAGAGCGUUCUGUAGGCCUGUGAAGGUGUCUGGUAACGGAUGCUGGAGGUAUCAGAAGUGCGAAUGCUGACAUGAGUAGCGUUAAAGGGGGUGAAAAGCCCCCUCGCCGUAAGCGCAAGGUUUUCUACGCAACGUUCAUCGGCGUAGAGUGAGUCGGCCCCUAAGGCGAGGCAGAGAUGCGUAGCUGAUGGGAAACAGGUCAAUAUUCCUGUACCGAUGUGUAGUGCGAUGUGGGGACGGAGAAGGUUAGCUCAGCCAACUGUUGGAUAUGUUGGUUCAAGCCUGUAGUCGUGCCCGGUAGGCAAAUCCGCCGGGCUUAGAUGAGGGGUGAUAACGAGGCUGCUUGCAGCCGAAGUGAGUGAUACCCUGCUUCCAGGAAAAGCCACUAAGCUUCAGCUACACACGACCGUACCGCAAACCGACACUGGUGCGCGAGAUGAGUAUUCUAAGGCGCUUGAGAGAACUCAGGAGAAGGAACUCGGCAAAUUGAUACCGUAACUUCGGGAGAAGGUAUGCCCCAAGUAGGUGAACCUGUACAA